rnacentral:rRNA from 1 species
GACGAACGCUGGCGGCGUGCUUAACACAUGCAAGUCGAACGAAGUGUCGAACGUGUGAGUAACGCGUAAUCAACCUGCCCUUCUGAGGGGGCCAAUAGUUGGAUACGACUGCUAAUACCGCAUACCGAAGGAGGGGAUUGCGUCUGAUUAGCUAGUUGGAGGGGUAACGGCCCACCAAGGCGAGGAUCAGUAGCCGUUCUGAGAGGAUGAUCGGCCACAGGGGGACUGAGACACGGCAAAGACUCCGACGGGAGGCGGCAGUGGGGGAUCGUCCGCAAUGGACGAAAGUCUGACGGAGCAGCGCAGGGGGAGUGAUGACGGCCAUCGGGUUGUAAAGCUAUGUAUGUCGGGACGCGGUACCGGAAUAGAAAGCCACGGCUAACGACGUGCCGGCAGCCGCGGUAAUUC